rnacentral:rRNA from 1 species
CAGCCGCCGCGGUAAUACGAAGGGUGCAAGCGUUACUCGGAAUUACAGGGCGUAAAGCGUGUGUAGGUGGUUGUUUAAGUCUGUCGUGAAAGCCCUGGGCUCAACCUGGGAAUUGCGAUGGAUACUGGGCGACUAGAGUGCGGUAGAGGAUAGUGGAAUUUCCGGUGUAGCAGUGAAAUGCAUAGAGAUCGGAAGGAACAUCUGUGGCGAAGGCGACUAUCUGGGCCAACACUGACACUGAGACACGAAAGCGUGGGGAGCAAACAGGAUUAGAGACCCCCGUAGUCCCUGUCUCUUAUAC